rnacentral:rRNA from 1 species
UGGGGAAUCUUCCGCAAUGGACGAAAGUCUGACGGAGCAACGCCGCGUGAGUGAUGACGGCCUUCGGGUUGUAAAGCUCUGUUAAUCGGGACGAAUGGUUCUUGUGCAAAUAGUGCGAGGAUUUGACGGUACCGGAAUAGAAAGCCACGGCUAACUACGUGCCAGCAGCCGCGGUAAUACGUAGGUGGCAAGCGUUGUCCGGAAUUAUUGGGCGUAAAGCGCGCGCAGGCGGAUUGGUCAGUCUGUCUUAAAAGUUCGGGGCUUAACCCCGUGAUGGGAUGGAAACUGCCAAUCUAGAGUAUCGGAGAGGAAAGUGGAAUUCCUAGUGUAGCGGUGAAAUGCGUAGAUAUUAGGAAGAACACCAGUGGCGAAGGCGACUUUCUGGACGAAAACUGACGCUGAGGCGCGAAAGCCAGGGGAGCGAGCGGGAUUAGAUACCCCGGUAGUCCUGGCCGUAAACGAUGGGUACUAGGUGUAGGAGGUAUCGACCCCUUCUGUGCCGGAGUUAACGCAAUAAGUACCCCGCCUGGGGAGUACGACCGCAAGGUUG